GUUAAAACCAGACACGUAUCUCGUCUCGUCUCUACGCUCGUGUUCGAGAUCAUCGCAUACAACCCUAAUUCCUGAGAAACCUAAGCUUUGUCUGGUCAGAUUCGAGUGGAUAUAAUGGAUCAACAGCCAGAACCAGUUACUUACGUCUGCGGAGAUUGUGGACAAGAGAAUACUUUGAAGUCUGGGGAUGUGAUCCAGUGCAGAGAGUGUGGAUACCGUAUCCUAUACAAGAAGCGUACCCGUAGAGUUGUUCAGUACGAAGCUCGCUGAGAACCACAACUCCGCCUGAAAGAUGAUUUGAAGUCUGUUAACAUGUCAUAAAGACUUCAACUGCCUUUGUUUGUAAUAUAAUCCAGUUCGACUUGAAAUUAUGUUUAUGUAACCCAUUAUGGAAUGUCUCUCUUGAAGCAGAAAGGGCCGUUUCAGUGUUAUAUAUCACUCUUGUCAGUGCU